rnacentral:rRNA from 1 species
GGCCCGCACAAGCGGUGGAGUAUGUGGUUUAAUUCGACGCAACGCGCAGAACCUUACCCAGUCUUGACAUCCCUGGAACCCCAUAGAGAUAUGGUUUCCACCCUAACCGGUGGUCAGGUGACAGGUGCUGCAUGGCUGUCGUCAGCUCGUGUCGUGAGAUGUUCGGUUAAGUCCGGUAACGAGCGCAACCCCUGUCCUUAGUUGCCAAUUAUGGAACUCUAAGGAGACUCCCGGUGUUAAACCGGCGGAAGAUGGGGAUGACGUCAAGUCCUCAUGGCCCUUACGACUGGGGCUACACACGUACUACAAUGGCAACUACAAUGAGCCGCAAGACCGCGAGGUGGAGCUAAUCUCAAAAAAGUUGCCUCAGUUCGGAUUGGAGUCUGCAACUCGACUCCAUGAAGUUGGAAUC